rnacentral:rRNA from 1 species
UACGUAGGGGGCAAGCGUUGUCCGGAAUUAUUGGGCGUAAAGAGCGCGUAGGCGGUCCGGUAAGUCGGCUGUGAAAGUCAAGGGCUCAACCCUUGAAAGCCGGCCGAUACUGUCGGACUAGAGUCCGGAAGAGGCGAGUGGAAUUCCCGGUGUAGCGGUGAAAUGCGUAGAGAUCGGGAGGAACAUCAGUUGCGAAGGCGGCUCUCUGGACCAGCACUGACACUGAGGCACGAAAGCGUGGGGAGCAAACAGG